rnacentral:rRNA from 1 species
AUUGAACGCUGGCGGCAGGCCUAACACAUGCAAGUCGAGCGGAUGAAGGGAGCUUGCUCCUGGAUUCAGCGGCGGACGGGUGAGUAAUGCCUAGGAAUCUGCCUGGUAGUGGGGGAUAACGUCCGGAAACGGGCGCUAAUACCGCAUACGUCCUGAGGGAGAAAGUGGGGGAUCUUCGGACCUCACGCUAUCAGAUGAGCCUAGGUCGGAUUAGCUAGUUGGUGGGGUAAAGGCCUACCAAGGCGACGAUCCGUAACUGGUCUGAGAGGAUGAUCAGUCACACUGGAACUGAGACACGGUCCAGACUCUGACGGGAGGCAGCAGUGGGGAAUAGUGGACGAUUGGCGUAAGCCUGAACCAGCCAUGCCGCGUGUGUGAAGAAGGUCGUCGUAUUGUAAAGCACUGUAAGUUGGGAGGAAGGGCAGUAAGUUAAUACCUUGCUGUUUUUACGGUACCAACAGAAUAAGCACCGGCUAACUACGUG